UCGAAGUACCCAAAUCUUCUCUGCUGCAUCAGGACUGAAGCAACAUUGUUCCGCCCCUUCCUCACAUGUUGCUGCAUAUUUCAGCUAGCUGAACGAAGGCUUGAAUGCUUUUCCCUCACUGCCAAAAAAGAAGAAUUUGGAUGCCGGGGAGCAAAUGAGUGCCAGUCAUCACUCUUAGUAAGUCUUGAACAAUGCCGUGGAUAUUGGUGAAGUCAGGCAAACAAUAAGAAAAUCCCUCCAACAUGUUCACACAAUUGAAUUCUGCACGAGCUGCAAUUAUAUCGUUCCCUGAAGAGGACUCUUUGACGCCCUAAAAAGAGGUGAGACAGCGUCUGGUGUGAGGAUCAGGAAAAGCCAACCCACCUCCUCUGAGUCCAGAGAGCAUGGAUGGCUCUCUGAAGAGCUGGAACAGGAGGAGGUGUCACAGCUCCAUGGAAGCACUGCGCUGGACAUCACACCAGGAAAAACAUGACCAACAGGGAUGACAAGACAAAAAAGAGAGCAAGGCAUAUUUCUCCUUCAGUUUAUGACAUGCAUGACAAUAAAGAAACACAAACAGGAGACAUCCCUACACAUUUGUUUUUUAUUACAUCUCUAAUAUUGCCAUCACGGUAAGAUGACAA